rnacentral:lncRNA from 1 species
CCUCCUCCCCGGCUGUGAGCCGGGCGCGGUGCGGGGUCCCCGGGAUUGCCGUCAUCCCGCGGCCGCCCGGGGCCAUCUCGGGCAUCAGCGUCACCAUCCUGCAGAAGGGGCAACUGAUGAAAGCAACAGUGGCGGCGCGGCACACCAACUUGUGCAGGCAGUUCUGGCAGAGGGAGUGGCUGCAGGGCAGCCGUUGGGGCGCCCGGCCGCCCCUGACGCCCUGACCCACAAUAUCCAACGUAUUUCCUAAGCACGACGCGUCGCUCUCGUCGUUUAGCUGCACAGUGAGCUCACCGAGCCCCGCGUGCGCAGCCCGGAGGCCGUCAGUGCUCAGCAUCGCAUCACCCCCCCCCGGGGCGCGUCGCUCACAGCGCCAGGCGCUGCCACUGCGUCCCCCC